ACAAAAUCAUUUCUGUCUGGUGGUUUAGCAUCAGCUAACAACUUCUUUUUUGCAACCCUGCGCUGAAGAAACAUGUAACCCAUGUAAGAACAGUCAAAAGAAACACUCGGCAAGCACAUCUAUAUGCGAGCGCACACAUGGACUUUUAACGCAGGCAAGCAACAAAAUUACUAAGAUUUUGUAGCCUACGUGACCUUAAUGCGAAACCAAUGCUAAAUGUAGUCUAGUCACGGCUGACAUAACUGUAGUACUUUGGGCACUGUGGCAAAAAUAGUAACCACUUCCUAGCAAUUUACAUUUUAGUUUCAAGCCGAAGGUUCCAGUAGACUAGCUGAUCAUUCAGGUUACCAGGCGACUUCAUUUUAACACCAAUUAAUUGGUGGAUAAUUCGGUUCUCGUGCUGUCGUUUAGGCUAUGAUUUAUCAAUCUAGCCACGUGUGCAUUAAGUAGCAUACGAAACACGAAAAAUGUUUGUGGAAAAUCAUGUUCCAUAUGAUUAAUUAUUUCAUUGUAAUUUCUCCGAUAUUAUCUGGAGACUCCACGUACACAGCCAGGUUUAAGCAGGUGUGUCCGUAUCUUACGUGCCAUGGCAGCAGAUUGUCGCUGGUUAUCGGAACCCGCCCUCUGUGCUCUACUCCCGUCCUUUGGAUUCUGACAGCACAGUAUCGGUGAUUUUCAGAGGGAUGGCCAGAGCUGUUAACCUGAAGAGGCCCCAUUACUGCCUGGCAGGAUGCCUUACUUAAGUUACAUACUCCAGACCUAAGCAGAUGUGCUUUAGAGAAGGUCGGUCGAUUUGUGUGUGGGG